CUCGACUGAUGUCGCAUUUCACACUAUUUUGUCUUAAUAUAAAAUGCAGGAAGUGCAAGAAGCUUCACUUCCUGCCUGCUCCGUGCCCUCAGACUUCACGAGGAGGAUGGGGGGAGAAAGGCAAGGAGGAGGUGGGGGGGACAGAUUCUCGUGGUGAUUGAUGGUGCCAGGCACCACGCCUGGCAGUGGACUUGUUAAGAGGCGCCAGUGGCAGGCAGCACUGUGGUUGAACUUAGUGUAAACUCUGCUAAUGGAUACCUACAAGUAGUUUACUGAGAGACAUCAAGGCUCUCCAACCUUAUCAUAUCUUAUUUUGAAACUGUGUAUGGAAUUUGCACUCUGAGACAGUAAGGCAGUUGAGUGUUGGAGUGCAACAGCAGUAAUAGUCUGUAAGUUAAAAUGGAAGAGUGAAGGAGGGAGGAAUUACGGUGCAGAUAUGUCGUGUUAAUGGUAAGGUUGUUUCUUGUAACACCAGCCGUCUCCUACCACCAGCCGUCUCCUACCACCAGCCGCCUCCUACCACCAGCCGCCUCCUACCAAGGUAGUGACCAUAAAAAGCAAAAUACUCGCCAUCACUCUUUUAAUAGCUGUCUUGCCAGUAAGUUGUCAUGUGGCUUAUAUUCUAAGAAUGUUUUCCUUCUUUUUAUGACUAGUGUGGGUGAGUUUUCCCUCCUUUUGGGCACCUCAGUGUGCGGUUGCUAUUAUGCUCUCUCUCUCUCUCUCUCUCUCUCUCUCUCUCUCUCUCUCUCUCUCUCUCUCUCUCUCU